rnacentral:rRNA from 1 species
AUGCGAUCGCGGUCGCGGUCGUGCUCGGAGAUGUCCAUAUCGCUAUCGGCAUCACCGUCGCCGGCGGAGCGGGAGGCGCUGCGCUUGCCGCGUUCACCGCCGGCGGCCGCGCCGCCGCCGCUGGUUGGGGCUCUUAUUGAGUCGCUGUCAUUUCGGAGCUGUGGGUUCGGCCGCGCCGCGUCCUCGGUGUUCGAGAAGGAGGACCUCCGCCUCCGGGUCGCGCUUCCGCAGCGCCUCCGCGACGCUCUGCACGCCGCGCUGAAGGCGAGGGACCCGUCGGCAGGCGCCUUCGCGUUGGAGGAAGCCCCGGGGGUCGGCACCGCGGCCAACCCCUGGUUCGCCCUUGCGCCCGAGGACGCUCCCGAGAACCCCCUGGUCGCGUUCGUCAACCCGCGUAGCGGCGGUCGCCUCGGCCCCGUCCUCAAGUCUCGCCUCCAGGAGCUCAUUGGCGAAGACCAGGUUUUCGAUAUUACGGUCGUUAAGCCAUCUGCAUUUGUGGAAUAUGGAUUGGGUUGUUUGGAGCAACUUGCUGAUUCUGGGUAUCAUAGUGCAAGAUCAGUUCGCAAUAACCUGAGAGUCAUGGUAGCAGGAGGUGAUGGUACAGUAGGUUGGGUGCUGGGAUGCUUAGGAGAACUAUAUGUGCAGAACCGGGGACCGGUUCCUCCAGUUGCUGUCAUACCCCUUGGAACAGGAAAUGAUCUUUCCAGGAGUUUUGGUUGGGGUGCUUCAUUUCCUUUCUCAUGGAAAGCAGCUGCUAAACGAUCUCUCUACAAGGCUAUUUUGGGCACAGUUUCAUGUUUAGACAGUUGGCACAUCGUCGUUUCUAUGCCAGAAGAAGGAGAAGAACAAGAACUGGAUCUUCCCCACUCCCUUAGGCACCUCGGAGAGUGUACAUUUUAUGAUGAUGGCACUGCUGAGGGAGAGUUGGCUGAGACAGUUUGUUGCUUUGACGGCGUCUUCUACAAUUACUUCAGCAUAGGGAUGGAUGCUCAAGUGGCUUACGGAUUUCACCAACUACGUGAUGAAAAGCCAUUCCUUGCCAGUGGUCCUUUAUCUAAUAAGUUAAUUUACGCAGGAUACACCUGCAAGCAAGGGUGGUUCUUUACACAGUGUAUUAGUGACCCUGAACUACGGGGACUGACAAACAUUAUCCGUUUAUCAAUAAAGAAGAUGGACAGUUCUGAGUGGGAGCACAUCCCUGUACCAUCAAGUGUAAGGGCUAUUGUUGCGUUAAACCUUCACAACUAUGCGAGUGGAAGGAACCCAUGGGGAAAUUUGAAGCCUGAAUACUUGGAAAAGAAAGGAUUUGUCGAAGCCCAAUCAGAUGAUGGCCUUCUUGAAAUAUUUGGGUUGAAGCAAGGGUGGCAUGCAUCCCUUGUGAUGGUUGAACUUAUAUCUGCCAAACACAUAGCACAGGCAGCAGCAAUCCGGCUAGAGAUCAAAGGUGGCCAAUGGAGGGAUGCAUAUAUGCAAAUGGAUGGGGAGCCAUGGAAGCAACCACUGAGCACCGAGUAUUCGACAUUCGUUGAUAUCAAGAGGGUGCCUUACCCAUCAAUGAUCAUCAGCGGUGCAGAUCGCUAA